UCACUUUGGCAGUGUGUAUAGUAUAAUUGGAUUAAUAAAGAGAAGAUUAGCAUGGUCUGUGCACAAGAAGGAUGAUACACAAAUUCGUGAAGCAUUCCAUAUUAAA